rnacentral:lncRNA from 1 species
AUUCAGCACAGUCACCGUGGCACACAGACACUCCCUCAGCAACCCUAAGCAGCUAAAAUGCCUUGGCUCCUGCUUGAACAGCUCCUGCAGGAAAGAAGUGUCUGUAUAUCUGAAAAAUAACAGGAAUCCCUUGCCAAAAUUUUGCCUGAGCUGCUUGUAUCAGCCUUGCAUUAUGGAGAGGCCAAGGAGAUACUGUUUUCCACCACUGUUCCACAGCACGGGUGGUCUUAGAAGCUAACUAUUGCAAGAUCUCAAUACUACUGCUCUAAAUAGACUUAAAAUAUACCAUCCCUGAAAACUGGAUGUGGGUUGGAGAGAGGAACAAGCAUCUAGCCAAGUGAAGACAAACAGUCGCAACAUCCCAGCUCCUCCAGCAGGCUCUCUCACGAAGGCUCACUGAAGAGUGCUGAGGAAUAGAAGCAUCA